rnacentral:rRNA from 1 species
GACGAACGCUGGCGGCGUGCUUAACACAUGCGAGUCGAACGCUGAAGCUCAGCUUGCUGGGUGGAUGAGUGGCGAACGGGUGAGUAACACGUGAGUAACCUGCCCUCUUCUUUGGGAUAACGUCCGGAAACGGGUGCUAAUACUGGAUAUUCACUGAUUCUCGCAUGGGGGUUGGUGGAAAGGUUUUUUCUGGUGGGGGAUGGGCUCGCGGCCUAUCAGCUUGUUGGUGGGGUGAUGGCCUACCAAGGCUUUGACGGGUAGCCGGCCUGAGAGGGUGACCGGUCACAUUGGGACUGAGAUACGGCCCAGACUCCUACGGGAGGCAGCAGUGGGGAAUAUUGCACAAUGGGCGAAAGCCUGAUGCAGCGACGCCGCGUGAGGGAUGGAGGCCUUCGGGUUGUAAACCUCUUUCGCUCAUGGUCAAGCCGCAGCUUUGGGUUGUGGUGAGGGUAGUGGGUAAAGAAGCGCCGGCUAACUACGUG